UGGGGAAUAUUGGACAAUGGGCGCAAGCCUGAUCCAGCCAUGCCGCGUGAGUGAUGAAGGCCCUAGGGUUGUAAAGCUCUUUCGCCAGGGACGAUAAUGACGGUACCUGGAUAAGAAGCCCCGGCUAACUUCGUGCCAGCAGCCGCGGUAAUACGAAGGGGGCUAGCGUUGUUCGGAAUCACCGGGCGUAAAGCGCACGUAGGCGGAUCUUUAAGUCAGGGGUGAAAUCCCGAGGCUCAACCUCGGAACUGCCUUUGAUACUGGAGGUCUCGAGUCCGGGAGAGGUGAGUGGAACUGCGAGUGUAGAGGUGAAAUUCGUAGAUAUUCGCAAGAACACCAGUGGCGAAGGCGGCUCACUGGCCCGGUACUGACGCUGAGGUGCGAAAGCGUGGGGAGCAAACAGGAUUAGAUGUCCUGGUAGUCCACGCCGUAAACUAUGGAUGCUAGCCGUUGGGCCAGCUUGCUGUUCAGUGGCGCAGCUAACGCUUUAAGCAUCCCGCCUGGGGGAGUACGGUCGCAAGAUUAAAACUCAAAUGAAUUGACGGGGUCAUAGCUGUUUCCU
rnacentral:rRNA from 1 species